GUUGAAAAAAUACUGUAGAAAAUAGUGUGGUGCUCUAAGGCUUCGUUUGGGAUUGCAGGGAGAUUGCGUUACCUGCGAUGAGAAACGACGAUAGAAAAAUACCAUGUUUGUUUCCGUACGUAAUAUUGCGUUUCGCAUAUUGCGGUCCCAUCAGAGAACGCAGAAGUAUAUUCCUAUAUGCUUUUUCUCAACUCCAUUCUAUUUAAUAGCGUUAGAUAGAUCUCAAUACCAAAAUAAGCCUAGAAAAGAAUCGGUAAAGUGUUUCGCUAUUUUUGGUAAAAGUUAGGGACCAAAAUAAAAAUA
rnacentral:lncRNA from 1 species